AUUGAACGCUGGCGGCAGGCCUAACACAUGCAAGUCGAACGAGUGGCGGACGGGUGAGUAAUGUCUGGGAAACUGCCUGAUGGAGGGGGCUAACUACUGGAAACGGUAGCUAAUACCGCAUACCAUCAGAUGUGCCCAGACGUGAUUAGCUAGUUGGUGGGGUAACGGCUCACCAAGGCGACGAUCCCUAGCUGGUCGGAGAGGAUGACCGGCCACACUGGACCUGAGACACGGUCCAGCCUCCUACGGGAGGCAGCCGUGGGGAAUCUUUCACAAUGUGCGCAAGCCUGAUGCAGCCAUGCCGCGUGUAUGAAGAAGGCCUUCGGGUUGUAAAGUACUUUCAGCUGUGAGGCGUUACCCGCCGAAGAAGCACCGGCUAACUCCGUGCCAGCCGCCGCGGUAAUAC
rnacentral:rRNA from 1 species